AUGCUGACCUGGCAGGGUAGAGACUGUGAUCCAAAAGGCCAUUCUCCCAGAACAAAGCUAUCCCAUUGCACUUCGGGUGGGCUGAUGCCUGCAAUAUCCCCAGAUGCGGAAUACUCGACUGCAAUAUUGGUGGUACUCGGAGACUGUGUGUUCUAU